AGGCGAAUAGCUCAGUCGGUAGAUCAUGAGGCCCUUAAUCUCAGGGCCAUGGAUUCGAUCACCACGUUGCACA